CUCUUUGUCAGCUGGAGUUGCGCGGGCUGACGCGCCACUAUGUAGCGGGUUUCGGGCGGGCCACGCGUGCGGGACAGGAACCCAACCCCAGCCGACCUUGAGCUCCAGGAGUUCGUCUCUUACGUCUGCGGAAGUGCAGCUGCCUCAGUUCUUAGCGCAGGUAUGUUCCUAGCCUUGAGCGGGGUGGGGGAAGGAAUGAGUCAGCCUGGAGCACGUGGCCAGUGGGACCGGAGGGUUCCCCGGCGUCUGUUUGUCGCCAAGGUCCGAAUCCGGCUCCCCUUAACUGGAAGGAAACAUCCAUGUAGGGGCUCACCAAACAAAACAGCUGUG
rnacentral:lncRNA from 1 species